rnacentral:rRNA from 1 species
UUGGAGGGCAAGUCUGGUGCCAGCAGCCGCGGUAAUUCCAGCUCCGAUAGCGUAUAUUAAAGUUGUUGCAGUUAAAAAGCUCGUAGUUGAGUUUCGGGAUUGGCGUGUCGGUCGUGCCUUACGGGGUAUGAACUGGCGUCGUCGAUUUCUCACCUUCUGGAGAAUCACGAUGCCCUUAAUUGGGUGUCGUGUGGAACCAGGACCUUUACCUUGAAAAAAUUAGAGUGUUUAAAGCAGGCAUUUUGCUCGAAUACAUUAGCAUGGAAUAAUAAAAUAGGACGGCUUGGUUCUAUUUUGUUGGUUUCUAGGAUCACCGCAAUGAUUAAUAGGGAUAGUUGGGGGCAUUAGUAUUCAAUUGUCAGAGGUGAAAUUCUUGGAUUUAUUGAAGACUAACUACUGCGAAAGCAUUUGCCAAGGAUGUUUUCAUUAAUCAAGAACGAAAGUUAGGGGAUCGAAGGCGAUCAGAUACCGUCGUAGUCUUAACCAUAAACUAUGCCGACUAGGGAUCGGAUGAUGUUAUUUUUAAUGAAUCAUUCGGCACCUUACGGGAAAC